GGAACAUAUGCUGUUCGUAUUAGAGAACCAUAUGGAAUUUCAGUAAAUGUUGAGCCAAAGAUUUUGAAAUUUGACAAGAUUGGAGAAGAGAAGACCUUUAAGGUCACUUUUAAAGCUAAGUGGGCAGGUGCAGCAGCUUCAAGCCAUCAAUUUGGAGCUCUAAUAUGGUCAGAUGGUUACCACUAUGUUAGGAGUCCAAUUACAGUUGAGGCCUGAUAGAAUUUUCAGUCUUUCUUUGGUUU
rnacentral:misc_RNA from 1 species